GGAUUGUGGCUCAGUGGCAGAGCGCUUGCCUAGCAUGUGUGAGGCCCUGGGUUCGAUCCUCAGCACCA
rnacentral:tRNA from 1 species